rnacentral:lncRNA from 1 species
AGGCCCCCGUGCAGAAGAAAAGCGGGAGGGAACGGCGGAGGCCGCCGCUGCCCUGCACCGCCCUCCUGGAGGCCACUUGGAGAGUCCGGCCCCGAGGAGGCCAUGGCCACAAGUGCCCACAGCUGGCCCCAGGAAAGAGCAAGGCUCAGGAUGAUUUAUCCUCUUUUCACUGAUGAGGAAUCUGAGGCCCAGAGAACAGUCAUGAAGUGUGAUCAGACCCUGAGGUCUCCAAAAAGAUAAUGUCCUUGCGAACUCCAGGGAUUCUGGCAUCUUGCUGUACCCACCCCAGCCCACACGGCAGGAUCCUAUCCAAGUCCCUUAUCCACCCGGACACUCACUUUAGCUUUUACACCCUCAAGGCUGAGACCCUAAGGACACGCCCUGGAUCCAAGGAGUCCCUGGCCCCUCUGCUAAUAUGCGCCACCUGGACUCCCAGAGGGAAAGCCGGUCAGCACCCCACAUGCAUUAGCACCAUGGGCCACCCCCAAGCCCUACCCCAGGAGAAGCUCGUGGUGGCAAAAAGAACCUAAGCAUUUGAGGCAGGUCACCCAAGCUUGAAUCUCAGUCUGCCUCUCAUCUGUGACCCUGGCGAGCCACUCGUCCUCAGGAAGCCUUCACUUUCCCUAGUGCACGGCGGGCACACAGCUCAACGUGGGACUGUGAGGAUGGGAAAUGAGGGGUGCCAUGCACCCUGGAGGAACUCAGUGAACAGUGGCAACUGUCACUUCCCUGGGGCCCUAUGGUCCUUCCUUUCUCCCCAGCCUGUCCACACUAGCAUCUUCCUCAACUCCUGGUUUUCAGAGGGAAACACUUAUCGGUCAUCUGCUCCACAGGAAACACCAGGCCAACCACAGCUGGGGAUAAAAUAGCACAACCACACCCUGCCGUCCAGCGCCUCCCAGCCUGUG